rnacentral:misc_RNA from 1 species
GUACCAAAAUUAUCUCAAUACAUGCCCAGGCCAUAAAGAGGGUGUGGCUGUGCCAAAAAUUAGUCAGUAAGACUUGCAAAAGACAUAUCAUUAUCAAUGACAAUGAGACAACUUUACGAUUUUGUUUUUAUUUUCUUUUACAACUUUAUAUAUUCGUCGGCGACGCAUGUGGCGACUGAAGUAGUCGUAAAUCGUGGGGUCUUUCAUCAAAAAUAUGUUGGAAAUAUGACCCUAACAUUUUUGGCAUUAAGCAAGGCAGUGGGCAGAGCAGCGUGGGGCAGGAAGCCAGAAACCAGAAGACUUGUAGAAGUCCUUUAGCAGACGUCAAGUGGCAAGACUAUGGAGAUAAGUCUUUGGCAGCAAGUCUUGCUUUCAAAUGCCACUUGUUGAAUGUCUUAUUGAAGGGAAAAGUAAACCUGGCAGCUGGGGUCAUCAAAAAGUGCGCAAAUAAAUUUGGUAUCAGGCCAAUGGCCAAAAUCCAAAUAGUUAUUUGUGGCCACGCAUUCGUUAUUAUCAACAUGCCGUGUGGAAGAAUCUAAACCCAUGAUGGAAAGACCGCAAAGUCUUCUUUACUUAUGAGAGUAGAUUUCUUUGCAUAUCCAUGGGAAAAAAAAAUGGGGUUGCAAUUCUGAGAUAGGAAAUAGAAGGAAUGUCAAUAGCACAAUUGUAAGUAUUUAAUAUGUAAAAGGAGGAGUGAGGUGAAAUAUCAUUUAUUAGAAUUAUAUAAAAUAUAUUAGGUAAAGAGUCACAAUGGUUUCACUUAAAUACCAUCUCCUUAGAUAAUAUUUUCUAAACAUGCACUUCAUACAAUUCUAAUAGAAUCAAAUCACUGGUAAGUACCAUCUUUUCAUAACACAAUCACGAUACUAAGGAUUUAUACGAUGAAGGCAUAAAUAGACAGAGUCAUCACCCAGGUAAUAACCGGAACAUAUUCAAUAUUUCUUGUGAGGGUCAUGGAUGGUAACUUACUCAUUGCAGAGUGUCCACAAUCGUCAUUACCAUAGCCCAAUGUCU